rnacentral:rRNA from 1 species
CUAAUGUAUUUCCAAGAGUCCUUAAUUGCCGGAAUCGUUUGGCACCUCGAUGUCGGCUCAUCUUAUCCUGGGUACGUAGGAAGAUCCAAGGGUACGUCUGUUCGACGUUUAAAAGGUACGUGAGCUGGGUUUAGAACGUCGUGAGACAGUUUUGGUCCCUAUCUACUAUGGGUUUUAAAAAUUGAAAGGGUUGCGGGCUAGUAUGAGAAGAAUGCAUCUAUCAAUGGUUUAGUUUUUAUACUUUUUAAUCGAAAGAUAACAUUGUUAAUAAAGCAAAUGCGCAAUAAACCUAUAGUUUUGGGCUAUAAUAUUUUUGUAUGUCUAGAUGCCACGUUUGUUAAAUAUAACUGCUGAAUUCAUGUAAGCGGG